rnacentral:rRNA from 1 species
CAGUCGCCACGGUAAUACGGAGGGAGCUAGCGUUGUUCGGAAUUACUGGGCGUAAAGCGCGCGUAGGCGGUUACUCAAGUCAGAAGUGAAAGCCCGGGGCUCAACCCCGGAACUGCCUUUGAAACUAGGUGACUAGAAUCUUGGAGAGGUCAGUGGAAUUCCGAGUGUAGGGGUGAAAUUCGUAGAUAUUCGGAAGAACACCAGUGGCGAAGGCGACUGACUGGACAAGUAUUGACGCUGAGGUGCGAAAGCGUGGGGAGCAAACAGGAUUAGAUACCCCGGUAGUCCCUGUCUCUUAUAC